rnacentral:rRNA from 1 species
UACGCAGGGUGCAAGCGUUACUCGGAAUUACUGGGCGUAAAGCGUGCGUAGGUGGUUUGUUAAGUCUGAUGUGAAAGCCCUGGGCUCAACCUGGGAAUUGCAUUGGAUACUGGCAGGCUAGAGUGCGGUAGAGGAUGGCGGAAUUCCCGGUGUAGCAGUGAAAUGCGUAGAGAUCGGGAGGAACAUCUGUGGCGAAGGCGGCACUCUGGGCCGAUACUGACACUGAGGAGCGAAAGCGUGGGGAGCGAACAGG